rnacentral:rRNA from 1 species
GUCCACGCCGUAAACGAUGUCUACUAGCCGUUGGAGAUCUAGAAUCUUUAGUGGCGAAGCUAACGCGAUAAGUAGACCGCCUGGGGAGUACGGCCGCAAGGUUAAAACUCAAAUGAAUUGACGGGGGCCCGCACAAGCGGUGGAGCAUGUGGUUUAAUUCGACGCAACGCGAAGAACCUUACCUGGCCUUGACAUCCUGCGAACUUUCUAGAGAUAGAUUGGUGCCUUCGGGAGCGCAGAGACAGGUGCUGCAUGGCUGUCGU